AGGGCGCAUGGUGGAUGCCUUGGCAACAGGAGCCGAAGAAGGACGUGGGAAUCUGCGAUAAGCCUGGUGGAGUCGAUAACCGGACGUUGAGACCAGGAUUUCCGAAUGGGGGAACCCCGCACGACUUUCAAGAUCGUGUGACCGCCUGCUGAACACAUAGGCAGGUUGGAGGGAACGCAGGGAAGUGAAACAUCUCAGUACCUGCAGGAAGAGAAAACAAAAGUGAUUCCGUGAGUAGUGGCGAGCGAAAGCGGAUGAGGCUAAACCUGUGCUGUGUCAAGCCGGCGGGCGUUGCAGUGUGGGUGUUGUGGGACCGGUCGUAUCACCUCUGCCGGGGUGGUGAUGGUGAUUGUGUGGUGUUAGCGGAAGACCUCUGGAAAGGGUUGCCGUAGUGGGUGAGAGCCCCGUACGCGAAAACACUGCCGUUGUCAUGGAUCGUGUUCCCGAGUAGCAGCGGGCUCGUGGAAUCUGCUGUGAAUCUGCCGGGACCACCCGGUAAGCCUGAAUACUCCUUGGUGACCGAUAGCGGAUUAGUACCGUGAGGGAAUGGUGAAAAGUACCCCGGGAGGGGAGUGAAAUAGUACCUGAAACCAUGUGCCUACAAACCGUCGGAGCCUCCUUGUUGGGGUGACGGCGUGCCUUUUGAAGAAUGAGCCUGCGAGUUAGUGAUACGUGGCGAGGUUAACCCGUGUGGGGAAGCCGUAGCGAAAGCGAGUCUGAAUAGGGCGAUUCAGUCGCGUGUCCUAGACCCGAAGCGGAGUGAUCUACCCAUGGCCAGGUUGAAGCGCGUGUAAGAGCGCGUGGAGGACCGAACCCACUUCAGUUGAAAAUGGAGGGGAUGAGCUGUGGGUAGGGGUGAAAGGCCAAUCAAACUCGGAAAUAGCUGGUUCUCCGCGAAAUCUAUUUAGGUAGAGCCUCGAGUGAAUACCCCAGGGGGUAGAGCACUGGAUGGGCUAUGGGGACUCACCGUCUUACUGAUCCUAACCAAACUCCGAAUACCUGGAUGUCUUAUCCGGCAGACACACUGUGGGUGCUAACGUUCAUAGUGGAAAGGGAAACAACCCUGACCGCCAGCUAAGGUCCCCAAGUCAUGGCUAAGUGGGAAAGGAUGUGAGGAUCCCAAAACAACCAGGAUGUUGGCUUAGAAGCAGCCACCAUUUAAAAAGUGCGUAAUAGCUUACUGGUCUAGUGAGCCCGCGCCGAAAAUGUAACGGGGCUAAAGUUCGGUACCGAAGCUACGGAAUCGUCGCAAGACGAUUGGUAGGCGAGCGUCUUCAAGGAGAUACACGGUGGACGGUGACGACCACUAACGGCCUUCAGGAGUGACUAUGCGGGCAUGAGUAGCGAUAAACCGGGUGAGAAACCCGGUCGCCGUAAGCCCAAGGUUUCCUGGGGAAGGUUCGUCCUCCCAGGGUUAGUCGGGAGCUAAGGUGAGGCCGUAAGGAGUAACCGAUGCACAACUGGUUAAUAUUCCAGUACCGCUCAAAGCCGUUCGACUCUGCUGAUGACGGAGAAAGUUAACAAAGCGACAUUUUGAAUUGUUGUCCAAUCCUGUAGGUUGUCUGGGGUUAAAAGACCGGAUUUAUCUGAAUGGAGAUGGGACCGUAAUGCUACGGCAGAGCGGGAUUUUGUGAUACUCAGCUUCCAAGAAAAGUCAGCAGGUUAGGCGCAAAGCGCCCGUACCGUAAACCGACACAGGUGGGUAGGAUGAGAAUUCUCAGGCGCUUGAGAGAACUCGGGAGAAGGAACUCGGCAAAUUGACACCGUAACUUCGGGAGAAGGUGUGCCCUCGUUACGUGAACCGCGCACGCGGGGAGCGGAAGGGGGUUGCAGAGAAUCGGGGGUAGCGACUGUUUACCAAAAACACAGCACUCUGCUAAGUCGCAAGACGACGUAUAGGGAGUGACACGUGACCAAUGCGGAAAGGUGAAAGCGUUGGGUGCAAGCUCAGCGUCUAAGCCCCCGUGAAUGUCGGCCGUAACUAUAACGGUCCUAAGGUAGCGAAAUUCCUUGUCGGGUAAGUUCCGACCUGCACGAAUGGAGUAACGACUUCCCCGCUGUCUCAACCAUGAACUCGGCGAAAUUGCAUUACGAGUAAAGAUGCUCGUUACGCGCAGAAGGACGGAAAGACCCCGAGACCUUUACUAUAGUUUGGUAUUGGUGUUCGGUGUGGCUUGUGUAGGAUAGGUGGGAGACUGUGAAGCCGGCACGCCAGUGCUGGUGGAGUCAUCGUUGAAAUACCACUCUGGUCACUCUGGACAUCUAACUUCGGCCCGUGAUCCGGGUCAGGGACAGUGCCUGAUGGGUAGUUUAACUGGGGCGGUUGCCUCCCAAAAUGUAACGGAGGCGCCCAAAGGUCCCCUCAGCCUGGUUGGCAAUCAGGUGUUGAGUGCAAGUGCACAAGGGAGCUUGACUGUGAGAGUGGCAGCUCGAGCAGGGACGAAAGUCGGGACUAGUGAUCCGGCGGUGGCUUGUGGAAGCGCCGUCGCUCAACGGAUAAAAGGUACCUCGGGGAUAACAGGCUGAUCUUGCCCAAGAGUCCAUAUCGACGGCAUGGUUUGGCACCUCGAUGUCGGCUCGUCGCAUCCUGGGGCUGGAGUAGGUCCCAAGGGUUGGGCUGUUCGCCCAUUAAAGCGGUACGCGAGCUGGGUUCAGAACGUCGUGAGACAGUUCGGUCCCUAUCCGCUGCGCGCGUUGGAAAUUUGAGAAGGUCUGUCCUUAGUACGAGAGGACCGGGACGGACGAACCUCUGGUAUGUCAGUUGUACCGCCAGGUGCAUGGCUGAUUAGCUACGUUCGGGAUGGAUAACCGCUGAAAGCAUCUAAGCGGGAAGCCCACCUUAAGAUUAGAUUUCCCUAAAGAGCCGUUGU
rnacentral:rRNA from 1 species